GCUGGGACAGCAAAGGGAGGU
rnacentral:miRNA from 1 species